UACGUAGGGAGCAAGCGUUGUCCGGAAUCAUUGGGCGUAAAGCGCGUGUAGGCGGUUACAUAAGUCUGUUGUGAAAGUCGGAGGCUCAACCUUCGAAAGCCGAUGGAUACUGUGUGACUAGAGUACGGAAGAGGAGAGUGGAAUUCCUGGUGUAGCGGUGAAAUGCGCAGAUAUCAGGAGGAACACCAACGGCGAAGGCAGCUCUCUGGGACGUUACGGACGCUGAGACGCGAAAGCGUGGGAGCAAACAGG
rnacentral:rRNA from 1 species